UGCAUCUGCAGCUCAUGAGGAUGAGAACCUCCGGGGGCAGGGAGGUUCGACUCGAGCGAAGCGAGAGAACGUUGCGCCAGCA
rnacentral:sRNA from 1 species